UCUCAAGCUCAUAGCAGCCUACAUGCACUGAAUCUGGCGGGAACUCAGAAGUUAAGCAAGGUUCGGCCCAUUUAGUGCUUGGAUGGGAGACCACCUGGAAAUAUUGUGUGUCUGACAC
rnacentral:rRNA from 1 species